GAUGAACGCUGGCGGCGUGCCUAAUACAUGCAAGUCGAGCGAACGGACGAGAAGCUUGCUUCUCUGAUGUUAGCGGCGGACGGGUGAGUAACACGUGGAUAACCUACCUAUAAGACUGGGAUAACUUCGGGAAACCGGAGCUAAUACCGGAUAAUAUUUUGAACCGCAUGGUUAAAAAGUGAAAGACGGUCUUGCUGUCACUUAUAGAUGGAUCCGCGCUGCAUUAGCUAGUUGGUAAGGUAACGGCUUACCAAGGCAACGAUGCAUAGCCGACCUGAGAGGGUGAUCGGCCACACUGGAACUGAAACACGGUCCAGACUCCUACGGGAGGCAGCAGUAGGGAAUCUUCCGCAAUGGGCGAAAGCCUGACGGAGCAACGCCGCGUGAGUGAUGAAGGUCUUCGGAUCGUAAAACUCUGUUAUUAGGGAAGAACAUAUGUGUAAGUAACUGUGCACAUCUUGACGGUACCUAAUCAGAAAGCCACGGCUAACUACGUG
rnacentral:rRNA from 1 species